rnacentral:lncRNA from 1 species
GGCAAUUUGCUCCCUUUAGACUCAUGCACAGGAAAUAGUAACCCUUUUCCACCAGUGUCGUCAGUACUUGCGGCUGGAUAUGCUGCUCGCUUUGACCACCUUCUGCUCCUCUCCUAUUUGAUUUAAAAAAAUAACUAGCUGCUCCAGAAAGAAGUGGGGUCCACAGCCUUUCCUUCCAAAUGGGCUGAGGGGGCAAGUGAGUUACAAGGCCUGUGCUUCUUUGAGCCCCUCCCUGUUCCAUCUCAGCUGAGAUAAAGCUGUUCUCUGGGGCGUGGAAAAUUUUCCCUGGCUUUCUCCUUCUUCAUGCUCCCUCCCGCUCUCCCUGUGGGGAGAUGGUUGCUGGGGGUGCAAGCACAGCCUGGGAGAGCUCCUGCUUAAUUGUUUGGAAACUAAAAACAGCCCUGGAACAGUGCAAAGCAAAUUGGUUCCUGGGUGCAUGCUCCGUGGAAAACUGCUGAAGUCGGUGCAAGCCUCCUCCAGUCAUCUUUGAAACGAGUUGAUUCCAUGGACACUUUUCUGCUGGUGAAAAUUUCCAUUCUCAAAGGGCCAGCUGAUAAUGGGAGAGCAACCCACAGAAGGAAUGUGAACAUCCCUUUCAACUUGAAGAUGCAUUCAUUGAGUUCACUGAAAUCUCUUGGCUAGCAUAGUGCCACAUAUUUGGUAGAUACUCAAUA